UACGUAGGGUGCAAGCGUUAAUCGGAAUUACUGGGCGUAAAGCGUGCGCAGGCGGUGAUGUAAGACAGAUGUGAAAUCCCCGGGCUCAACCUGGGAACUGCAUUUGUGACUGCAUCGCUGGAGUGCGGCAGAGGGGGAUGGAAUUCCGCGUGUAGCAGUGAAAUGCGUAGAUAUGCGGAGGAACAUCGAUGGCGAAGGCAAUCCCCUGGGCCUGCACUGACGCUCAUGCACGAAAGCGUGGGGAGCAAACAGG
rnacentral:rRNA from 1 species